rnacentral:rRNA from 1 species
UAUAUCAAUAAGCGGAGGAAAAGAAACCAACAGGGAUUGCCCUAGUAACGGCGAGUGAAGCGGCAAUAGCUCAAAUUUGAAAUCUGGCUCCCUAGGGGGUCCGAGUUGUAAUUUGCAGAGGGUGCUUUGGCGUUGGUAGCGGUCUAAGUUCCUUGGAACAGGACAUCGCAGAGGGUGAGAAUCCCGUAUGUGGUCGCAUGCCUUCGCCGUGUAAAGCCCCUUCGACGAGUCGAGUUGUUUGGGAAUGCAGCUCUAAAUGGGAGGUAAAUUCCUUCUAAAGCUAAAUACUGGCCAGAGACCGAUAGCGCACAAGUAGAGUGAUCGAAAGAUGAAAAGCACUUUGGAAAGAGAGUCAAACAGCACGUGAAAUUGUUGAAAGGGAAGCGCUUGCAGCCAGACUUGCCCGCAGUUGCUCACCCAGGCUUUUGCCUGGGGCACUCUUCUGCGGGCAGGCCAGCAUCAGUUUGAGCGGUCGGAUAAAGCCCUCUGUCAUGUAUCACCCUUCGGGGUGAGAUUAUAGGGGAGGUGGCAUGCGACCAGCUCGGACUGAGGACCGCGCUUCGGCUAGGAUGCUGGCGUAAUGGCUGUAAGCGGCCCGUCUUGAAACACGGACCAAGGAGUCUAACAUCUAUGCGAGUGUUUGGGUGUCAAGCCCGGGCGCGUAAUGAAAGUGAACGGAGGUGGGAACCCCUCGGGGUGCACCAUCGACCGAUCCUGAUGUCUUCGGAUGGAUUUGAGUAAGAGCAUAGCUGUUGGGACCCGAAAGAUGGUGAACUAUGCUUGAAUAGGGUGAAGCCAGAGGAAACUCUGGUGGAGGCUCGCAGCGGUUCUGACGUGCAAAUCGAUCGUCAAAUUUGGGCAUAGGGGCGAAAGACUAAUCGAACCAUCUAGUAGCUGGUUCCUGCCGAC